rnacentral:tRNA from 1 species
GAUGUUGUGACCCAGUGGUAGAGCACUCACCUAGCACAUGUGGGUGCUGGGUUCGAUCCUCAGCACCACA